GAUGAACGCUGGCGGCGUGCCUAAUACAUGCCAGUCGAGCGAACAGACGAGGAGCUUGCUCCUCUGACGUUAGCGGCGGACGGGUGAGUAACACGUGGAUAACCUACCUAUAAGACUGGGAUAACUUCGGGAAACCGGAGCUAAUACCGGAUAAUAUAAUGAACCGCAUGGUUCAAUAGUGAAAGACGGUUUUGCUGUCACUUAUAGAUGGAUCCGCGCCGCAUUAGCUAGUUGGUAAGGUAACGGCUUACCAAGGCAACGAUGCGUAGCCGACCUGAGAGGGUGAUCGGCCACACUGGAACUGAGACACGGUCCAGACUCCUACGGGAGGCAGCAGUAGGGAAUCUUCCGCAAUGGGCGAAAGCCUGACGGAGCAACGCCGCGUGAGUGAUGAAGGUCUUCGGAUCGUAAAACUCUGUUAUUAGGGAAGAACAAAUGUGUAAGUAACUAUGCACGUCUUGACGGUACCUAAUCAGAAAGCCACGGCUAACUACGUG
rnacentral:rRNA from 1 species